rnacentral:rRNA from 1 species
UACGGAGGAUCCGAGCGUUAUCCGGAUUUAUUGGGUUUAAAGGGUGCGUAGGCGGAAAUGUAAGUCAGUGGUGAAAUCCUGCAGCUUAACUGUAGAAUAGCCGUUGAAACUGUGUUUCUUGAGUACAUUUGAGGUAGGCGGAAUGUGUAGUGUAGCGGUGAAAUGCUUAGAGAUCACACAGAAUAUCGAUUGCGAAGGCAGCUCACAAAGCCAAGAUUGACGCUGAGGCACGAAAGUGUGGGGAGCAAACAGGAUUA